rnacentral:rRNA from 1 species
CCUACGGGGUGCAGCAGUGCGGAAUAUUGGUCAAUGGGCGGGAGCCUGAACCAGCCAAGUCGCGUGAGGGAAGAAGGUACUGAGUAUUGUAAACCUCUUUUGCCAGGGGACAAAGGCGGCCACGGGUGACCGUAAGAGGGUACCUGGAGAAAAAGCAUCGGCUAACUCCGUGCCAGAGGCCGCGGUACUACGGAGGAGGCGGUCGUUAUCCGGAUUUAUUGGGGUUAAAGGGUGCGCAGGCGGCGUGUCAAGUCAGCGGGAAAAUGUCGGGGAUCAACCCCGGCCGGCCGUUGAAACUGGCGUGCUCGAGUUGGAGAGAAGUAUGCGGAAUUCGUGGUGUAGCGGUGAAAUGCAUAGAGAUCACGAAGAACCCCGAUUGCGAAGGCAGCAUACCGGCUCCACACUGACGCUGAGGUACGAAAGCGUGGGUAUCGAACAGGAUUAGAUACCCCUGUAGUC